CAGCAGCCGCGGUAAUACGAAGGGUGCAAGCGUUACUCGGAAUUACUGGGCGUAAAGCGUGCGUAGGUGGUGGUUUAAGUCCGUUGUGAAAGCCCUGGGCUCAACCUGGGAAUUGCAGUGGAUACUGGGUCACUAGAGUGUGGUAGAGGAUAGUGGAGUUUCCGGUGUAGCAGUGAAAUGCGUAGAGAUCGGAAGGAACAUCUGUGGCGAAGGCGACUAUCUGGGCCAACACUGACACUGAGGCACGAAAGCGUGGGGAGCAAACAGGAUUAGAUACCCCCGUAGUCCCUGUCUCUUAUAC
rnacentral:rRNA from 1 species